AUACGGAGGGUCCAAGCGUUAUCCGGAAUCAUUGGGUUUAAAGGGUUCGCAGGCGGUUCAUUAAGUCAGUGGUGAAAUCUCUCGGCUCAACCGAGAAACUUCCAUUGAUACUGAUGGACUUGAAUAUAGUUGGAGUAGGCGGAAUGUGUAGUGUAGCGGUGAAAUGCUUAGAUAUUACACAGAACACCGAUAGCGAAGGCAGCUUACUAAACUAUUAUUGACGCUCAUGAACGAAAGCGUGGGGAGCGAACAGGAUUAGAAACCCUAGUAGUCC
rnacentral:rRNA from 1 species